AGAGUUUGAUCCUGGCUCAGAUUGAACGCUGGCGGCAGGCUUAACACAUGCAAGUCGAACGGUAGCAGGAAGAAGGCUUGCUUUCUUUGCUGACGAGUGGCGGACGGGUGAGUAAUGCUUGGGAAUCUGGCUUAUGGAGGGGGAUAACUGUGGGAAACUGCAGCUAAUACCGCGUAUUCUCUGAGGAGGAAAGGGUGGGACCUUAGGGCCACCUGCCAUAAGAUGAGCCCAAGUGGGAUUAGGUAGUUGGUGGGGUAAAGGCCUACCAAGCCUGCGAUCUCUAGCUGGUCUGAGAGGAUGACCAGCCACACUGGAACUGAGACACGGUCCAGACUCCUACGGGAGGCAGCAGUGGGGAAUAUUGCGCAAUGGGGAGAACCCUGACGCAGCCAUGCCGCGUGAAUGAAGAAGGCCUUCGGGUUGUAAAGUUCUUUCGGUAAUGAGGAAGGGAUGUUGUUAAAUAGAUAGCAUCAUUGACGUUAAUUACAGAAGAAGCACCGGCUAACUCCGUGCCAGCAGCCGCGGUAAUACGGAGGGUGCGAGCGUUAAUCGGAAUAACUGGGCGUAAAGGGCACGCAGGCGGACUUUUAAGUGAGAUGUGAAAUCCCCGAGCUUAACUUGGGAACUGCAUUUCAGACUGGGAGUCUAGAGUACUUUAGGGAGGGGUAGAAUUCCACGUGUAGCGGUGAAAUGCGUAGAGAUGUGGAGGAAUACCGAAGGCGAAGGCAGCCCCUUGGGAAUGUACUGACGCUCAUGUGCGAAAGCGUGGGGAGCAAACAGGAUUAGAUACCCUGGUAGUCCACGCUGUAAACGCUGUCGAUUUGGGGAUUGGGCUAUAUGCUUGGUGCCCGAAGCUAACGUGAUAAAUCGACCGCCUGGGGAGUACGGCCGCAAGGUUAAAACUCAAAGGAAUUGACGG
rnacentral:rRNA from 1 species